AGGUCGUAGCAAGGGUUCCGUAGGUGAACCUGCGGAAGGAUCAUUAUCCACAUAUAAACCAUUGUGAACCGUACUCUGCCCUCUGGUUUUUUCUUUUUCCUGGGGCUGCAGAAGUAAAAAAAGGCUUUGCUUUUUUUGACAUUUGCAACUCUUGGGGACGAGGAGGAGAAUCAGAGCGUAUUAACCUCCAUAUCAACCAUUUUAACCAAAUCUUUAUAACUUUUAUGAACUAAUCUUUAUUUUAUAUCUCCGGAGAGAAAAUUCAUUACGAAACAAAGAACAACUCUUAGCAACGGAUAUCUUGGUUCUC
rnacentral:misc_RNA from 1 species